UGGGACGUGGCCAAGUGGUAAGGCGCUUGAUUCUGGCUCAAGAGAUCGUAGGUUCGAAUCCUACCGUCCCAGCCA
rnacentral:tRNA from 1 species